rnacentral:misc_RNA from 1 species
AAGUCGUAACAAGGUUUCCGUAGGUGAACCUGCGGAAGGAUCAUUAGAAAUUUUUUAUGUAUUCAAAAAUUUUCAAUCUUUUUAUUUAAAAAUAUGAUAAAUGUAUAUAAUUCAUGAGAUAACUUUCAACAACGGAUCUCUAGGCUCUU